AUUUGGGGACCUCCCUACCUGCAUGCAAAAAAAUUUUUAAAUCCGAGUGUAACACCUAAAAACCUUUCCUUGUCGGUCGGUGCGUACGUAUUGCUCGUAUUCCACCUGUUCUCGCACGAAACGCGUAUCCAGCAUUACAUAACGCAGGUUCACGCGUGUGCAUGGCAGGUACAUACGGUGCGUGUGUGCGGCUGGCAGGACCAAUAUAUGCGAAUGACGUGGAUGUACAUGGUCGCGCCCGCCGCAUGUACGUAGUGUCCGACCUUUAUCGAGCUCGUAGCGACGGCCGCGGCGUGCGGAAAAAAAAGAACGCCCGCGGGUCUACGCGGGUGGAACGAAGCUCGCCAAUGAUCACCGCCGGUGCUUCGAAAUUGUACUGUGUGCUGCAGCGUUUGAAAACAUCGCAGCCGUUAUAACGCGAGUGUCAAGUAACUGACGGAUUGUAUGUUGCGCCGCAACAAACGCACGAAUAUCUUUAAUAAAAGAUUCUUUACGGAGCUUAGUAUCAUAUAGUGUGGACCGACGUUCUGGUUCGCGCUUGUGUCAUCAAAAGCGGAAAUCUCGCGUUUCCUCCGGGAAAUCCGUCAAACGUGCUAAUUGAGAGAUUGCGUCGAUCGGUAAUAACCACGUACUACGGGCGAGCUAAUAUUUGAGCACGGUAGAAUUUCGGCGUUAAUUGCUCGCUGUAUUUUCCAAAUUGGCUGCGCAAGCAGAAAGAGACAGGAAAGAGGGGAAGAAGAAGAUAAAGAUAACGAUGGUUACAUAUCGUAUGUCAAUCUCGUUCCCGAAAAACAUAUCACGCGACGCAAUCGAAAGCAAUAACUGCACGUCGAAUUCCACGUUGACAGUGUUCCAUGAAGAGUUUCUAAGCACUGAAGGAAAUCUGUCGCGAUACGCGGUUCUCUCUCCUUCUCUCUCGAAAAAGUAAUUUAAACGCGUAAACUCGUCCGACAUCCAGAACGGCAUCCUGACAGCCGUCGCAACGGCCGCGAGAUGCAUUGUCUGACUCGCUCGCGACUGUCGGCCGCCGAUAGGAUUCACAGAGAGCCGGCCUAUAGAAAUCCGCGCGGCGGCGUCAGGACGAUUCCCUGGGUUUCAUCGGAGACGUGCACGCGCGUACGCGCGCACUAUUGUUUGCGGCGGACAGAUUCAUUUAAACUUGUCGGUCGCUCCCGUUCCUCUCCAUUAAACUGCGCGAACUGUCCUCCACCAGCACACACGUUUCCGGUCGAAAUGUCAAGAUCCAUGGCGUUUUUUGGAGCCUCGCCAGCGACGGUGACAGCCAAUGAUAAACCAUAGGAUAAACGCGUAUCCGGGAUAGGAGUAAAUUUCUGCGCGGCCGAAGUAAGGAUGCUACUUACGACUGCGAAUCAGCUGGAUGCUGUGGACCACACGCGUCGAUUCUUAUUUAAUGAGCGAGACGGCUGUCGGUCGAGACCUGAGCGACGAGCUAAUAAUUAUCGGUGCAUUAUUUGACGAUAAUUGGAUCCUUGCUUCCUGUAAUCCCGCGCGUGUUUCGCCACCGCCGCCGCCGAUCAAUCAAUGGGAGUCCACCGGCGCGCGUUAAGGGGGGAUUCUCAUGUAACGAGUCAAAAAAUUCUAUUUUUUUUUGCUUAAAUCAACUCUAAUACAUGUGGAAAAUAUGUUCCUAAAGUUACAAAUCGAUAUUCGACCUCUACGUAUAGUUAUAGUCGAGUUUUCGACCGCGCGUUGAGUAGGUAGCUGGGAGCGCUCGGAGCGGAGACACGCGUCUCGUCUGCCCUCACUCAUACACUCGUACGUAACAAACAGCUUCGCAGGUGUACGUCCAACGAUUUUCUUUUGUUGGGAUAUACCUUCGCGUACUUGUAUAGCUGAGGCAGGAAAUUUUUACGAGAGCUUCAAUUCGUGUGUUUGGCGUUUGGCUCCGAAAUAUUUAUAUUGUGGCAUCCGAACAGUAGAAAUAGCCGCAUAUAUUGCUGCAAGAUUAUUCAACGAAGGCUAUUUCGCCGUUUUAAAAAUUAUGGACACAUUAGAACUAAAGAUCGGUACCCAUUGUAAGGAGUAUGCAGACUCGUAUGACGCCGCGCGGAUACGGCGACAGGAGCGACGAAGCCUCAGUAGCUCGAAAGAAGCUCGAACUGCUCGCAAAGAACUGAAUUUACAACAGCAGCAGUUAUACGAGGAUGCAGAAGGCCUACUAUAUGGCCCUGGAAUCGCCGAUUAGGACUACCAUUACAGCGGAUGCUAGACUGCACACCGUUUGACGCCUGCGACGCCGAAGCCGCUGAAGGCGGCGUCCAUACCUAUAUUUAUAUAUAUGUUUUUUUUAACCAAAAAAAUAUUUUUAUAUUCUCUUUACAUGUAUUGAUGUACUAUUAAAGUUUGAGAUCCUUUGACUAAAUACGUUCUUGAAAAAAAA